AUAGCCAUCCCCUAAGAAGAGGGCAUUCCUGCUCUUCCUUCUCCAUGGCUAGAGGAUCUACAUGAACUAUUUAGAUUUUUUCUACCUGGGAGAUUUAACUCCUCUCUCCUAUUUAUUUAUUUAUAUAUCAGCAUGGACUUGCAGGCCAACAGAGAUUUUGAGAAACACAUUGAAGGAUCUGUUAACACUUGAUAUACCCAAUAAAAGCAGUGGUUGUGCCAGUGCUGAUCUGUCUUGAUGUGAAUGUGAACAAUGGGAACCUGAGCUGAGCAGUUAAUGCUAGGGUGACAGAAACUGGACCUCUCCCAAGACAUGUGACAGAGUAAUACAGCAGCCAACUUCUUCGCCAAAUUAAAGUUUUACAAGAUUUAACCUGUCAUCAAGACCUGGGAUUUUGGUGAGCCAGUCUUGGUGCUCUGUGUUCACCUGGUUCAUCUGAGGAGCUGCAUCUACCCUGCCCAUGCCAUAGAUCCUGCCCUGUUUGCUUCUCCUGUUGCUGCUAGUGGACAUGAGGUAACCACAGCCUAGUUCUGUGAUAAGCUCUUCACACCUGUACCCAUAUGGACUGUGGGAGAGUUUCUCUGAUAUGGACUGUGAUGCGGGUGAGUCAUAGUGCACACUCACACUUAAUUUCACAAGUACUGCCAGAUUGUGUUCCAGAAUGACUGUACCAGUUUACACUUCCACAGGCAGUGCUCAAGAUUUCUGUUUCCCUCUGUCCUCGCCAGCACCUGGUAUUGGCAGAUGCAUCAAAAAGGAUGCAUUUGACAGCUCAACCACCUCAGAGCACUUGAUUAGCAUCCCUGUGAUGGCCCUUUCUGCUGCAGACAUCACUUUGUCAUAACAGCAUUUUGAGCAGGAAGAAGCAUCAGGCAGGAAAAAAGGGGCCCUUUUACUGUGACUCCCUAUCUUCUGUUAGGGAAGAAAAUUUUCCCCAGAAAUCCCCAGUAGACUUCCCCUAUGUCUCAGUGGCCAAACUGGGCCAGGUAAGCUCCCAGCCAGUCCCUGACAGAGAUAACAAGAUUGUCAUGGCUGUUUCAAGCCAGGGCCAAUUCUUCCCCCUGCCAUGGACUUUUUUUGAGCACAUUGCUAUCUCCCUUGUCCCUGAAUAGAA
ensembl:lncRNA PVT1 Pvt1 oncogene